GCCGGGCAUGGUGGUGUGUGCCUGUAAUCCCAGCUACUCGGGAGGCUGAGGCAGGAGAAUCGCUUGAACCUAGGAAGUAGAGGUUGCAGUGAGCCGAGAUCAUACCACUGUAGUCCAGCCUGGGUGACAGAGUGAGACUCUGUCUCAA
ensembl:misc_RNA Metazoa_SRP Metazoan signal recognition particle RNA